ACCGCCUCUCAAACUCAGCACGAAGCUCCCCGUAGGCCGUGCACCGAGUCAAGAUCAAGGCAUCGCCAGGGAACAAGGAUGCCCGACUGGAAGUUGACUCGGUACUCGCAGCAUGGCGGAGCGUGGAUAUGAUAAUGUUUCCUGCGUGUGUCUUUGUGAUCGAGGACAAGGGAGGAAUGAAGAGAGAGAAGAGAGUAUAUGCGUGUCUCUGUUGUGUUAGAGCAGCUCUGUGUGGCCUACUAAGGCUCUCACAUACGUAAGGUACGUAAGUACGCAAGUCCCAGCGAAGAGUAGGGCCCAGGGCCGCCAACUCUGACAUUCUUCCUCGAGGGCGUACACCAGAGUUCAUUGUCAUUGUCAUUGUCAGUAUGAAUGACAGCAUCACGAAACCAAGUUCAUCGAUCCAGUUCUAAAAGGUAUAUGAAAUAAAGAAGAUUCGGAGAUCAAUGAGAAGAUUACAGGGAAUUUUUAUCAUGAGAGUCUACAUGGGAUUCAGGAAGGAAGAACUGGACCCCCAUGAAGACUGCCGGCCCUGUUGAUUAUUUAAAUGUAAAACACAGCUAUGGGGGUAUACAUAUACCUUGUCCAGUCCGAGGAUCCCAUACGUGGUACUGCUACACGGAGAGCCUCGCGUGUUGCAUGGUCCCACCGCAGUACGUGGAUGUCGGUCCCAGUCGGGCCCCUCGUAGGCAGAGCUCGAACUCGGUACCCCAGGCAUACAUACUGCAAGUACGAUCAGCUUGGGACUCACGACUUACAGUCCCAUACAGGGAGACACCAGGAUACUUAUACCAUGGAUUCUUUUUAUUCUUCAUAAAACUUACCCGUGAGUCCCAUAACAGAUUAAAUGAACAAAAAUGUCAGUGCUUCUACUACUCUUUGAAUUUGAUUCGACUGCGUCAUCGGCCGGAGACACUCCUGGCAAAUUUUUGGAUAGAUUCCCAUAAAGUUUUCACCGUGUGCGAGUUAUGAUGCCAAGAGAAAUCGAACUUGAUCAUUAAGCCGGCCGCGACGGCCAUUCGGCCCAUUAGCCGCGUUCACGGCUGUCGAGCGGCCGUAAGGAGUUUACGGCUCACUUACGGAUUCACAUUGCUCGAUAGAGACAAAGAUAAAUGAUAAGGACUUUUAUUAUUGUUCGAUCAAUCUAAAGCAAACAGUAACUGUUGUAUACCUAAACUUUAUACAAUUGUUGGAUGUAAUUUUUCUAGUGAAAUUGGGCCCGAUGGUUACCUUGAUCCUUGAAACGAUUUCUCACACGGUUUGAAAUGUCACUGUAAGACCCACUAUUGAAUGUCACUAGUCCAACGUAUAUCUUACUCGUCCAAAUCCUGAGUUUAAUGUCAUCUCUCAAGCGCAAUUGAUUAAUUCUUAAUAUCUACCGUUACUAAUUAUUCCUCUAUACUUACUAUAUAAGAAUCCUACAAUUGGUAACACUGGAGAAAUCUAUGCUGGAACCUGAUAGGAGUUUCAUGCACGACAUACAUCGCUCACAGCUAGAUAUACCGCUAGUAACUAUUCGCUAGGACAGUUUUCCAUAUGUAUAAAAUCAUUUAUAGAGAUUCACCUUUACACGCAUGACACGUGUUAUAGAUUAAUGAAGUUACCAAAAAUAUUCUAUAUUAAUAUUACUGUCUGUCAAUGUAAAUGAACGGAAUGUCAAUUGCAGAGGUUUUUUGUCAAAUUUUCUUUUCUAAGAUUUGUGCUUUCGGACUCUCUUGAAUUAUUUACACCGACCAAUCUCUUUCUCGUUAUCCAAUGUUUUAUGUAUGUUUCCAUAGCAUCUAUCUCGCGUCGCAAAUUUUCCUCGACUUUGCGAAUCCAGUCGUUCGCAAGAAGAUGGAAUCUUUUGACACGAUCUACUUGCUGGAAGAUUGCGUUAAAGACGAGCGAUAUUCGGAGAGCGAUGGGAACUUUACCACGGGAAUGAAAAAUCUUCUGUAUCAGUAUAUAUAUA